rnacentral:lncRNA from 1 species
CGUCAAAUUAUUAACUUUUAAGUUUUUCUUUUCAGAUGUUGAAAAUGAAAAAAUAAACAUGUCAUUCAUAAAAUUUUAUUUAAACCUAUUCAGAUUUCAAAUAAAAAAAUAAAUACAACCUAAAUUUUUGUUAGCUUUUACAUAACAAGUCAACAUAAAUUAAAUUUAAAAAAUACUUUUUUAACUUUGAGUUUUGUAUUUUUACUUCUUCCCUUUUUGUUUAUUCCUAUUCUCUAUUUCUCUUCCAUCGCGUUCUAGCCCACUUGAUUCACCGUGGUCUUUGGAUGGUGAGGACCACUAAAAGUUGUAGUAAGUCCAGAAACAUCAAUCACGCAAGGGCGCCCCAUGCCAUACGUUUAAAGAUGGCAAAUUCUCCAUUUCGUCCCUCAAUAAAUUUAAUGGUAAUAGACUAAUAGGGUAGAGACGAAAAAUCCCUAAAUAAGGAUUAAUUUUUUUAUUUAUUAGUAGAUAUGUAUAAAUGAUUUCAGUAAAUUAAAAAUAAAGACUUAAAUAAAAUUAUUAACAUAUUAUAAAGUAUUUAAUUAUUUAAAAAAAUCUAUAAAAAGUUGAAAUAAUAUCAAAAUUAAAAAAUAUUUGAAGAGUGCAACAUGUUGAGAAAGAAAAGA